UAUGACUGUCUCUUCCUCAAGAUCUCAAGAAAACACUCUGUUCCUCUUACUGAUGUCAUGAGGUGGUGCUCCUCCAUGUUCUGUUUUAAACAAAAAUAGACUGAAUACAAUGUAAAAUUCUUAUUAAUUGUGCGCUCAAAUUUUAGUGGGACCCUCACCUCAGUGCCUCAGCCCAGCCCGCACUGGGAACCUCUGUACUAUCAGACAUUUCCUGGUAAACUGUCUUGCACUACCCAAUGUUGCCAGUAGAUGUCAUGGUUCCUCCUUUAGAUGUUUCCUGUGAGCUGUAAUCAGAUGGAGCUGAGGAUAAACCAGUGCUCCUCGUCCUGCUGCAUCACACUCGUAAAGUGGAGCAGGUGCUGAAGCCGAGCAACUGGAAGGAGGAGUUCCCCAACAUCACUCUGGAAGUCCAAGUUCUGUAUCAUGAGUCUCAGAACGGUCUGCUGCAGGACUGUCCCAGGAACCAGGAGGCCAUUCAGACCCUCGUGAGCCUGAGCCAUGAACUCCAGACCACUGUGAAGACUGAACCUAAGCCCAAAAGAUGUUGCUGUACAUUGUUAUAAAAGAAUGACUCAAUUGUAAUUCAACCUUAGCUGACUACUUCAUUGUUU
rnacentral:lncRNA from 1 species